GCCUUCUUAGCUCAAUUGGCAGAGCACGUGAUUUGUAAUCUCGAGGUUAUCGGUUCGAUUCCGGUAGAAGGCU
rnacentral:tRNA from 1 species